rnacentral:tRNA from 1 species
AGUAGAAUGGCUGAGUUUAAAGGUGAUAGAUUGUAAAUCUAUUAAGGGGUUAUGAAUAAUACCCUUCUACUA